AAGGAAUGAAAAUAAAACAUUACUAAGGCAUCUCUAUGAAUUACUAUUCCACUGGAAUUCCGCCAUCUUUCUAUGUUCCAUUCCAUUUAGUCACGUGACUGUAAGGAAGUGUCAGUGAACUCCAUAACGUCAUCAAGAUGUUUUUACAUAAGGGAAUUGUUGACAGUAUAAAACAUUUUCUGUCUUUAAAGUGAUGGUCAAAUUUACAUAAUAAACGUACAGAAAUGAUCUCUCACAUUUUUCAACUAAUGACCAUAAAACCCAAUGACAUGACAUGACAUCAUGAUGGUGUUUUAUAA